rnacentral:misc_RNA from 1 species
UUCACAUUCCCAAAACCCUUAAGUAACGUAGUGUAGGUGACAACAUCUGGAUAAAGAUUGCCAUUGUUUGAUUUUUGUGCUUUGUCCUUCAUUUCCUGAAAGAAAUGCAUUGCAGCAUCCACAUUUUCAUUCUUGGCACAUGCUAAAAUUAGAGUAUUAUAGGUGAGCCUAUCAGGGGUUAACCCAAUACGUAAUAUCUCAUCUUGCACAGUCAAGGCAGCUUGAGGACACCCAGCAUUUAUAUAUCCCUUCAUUAGUAAGUUGUAU